rnacentral:tRNA from 1 species
AUAUAAUUAGUUUAAUUAAAACGCUAACUUGUGGCGUUAGAAAUUCUUUGUUAAGAUUUAUAUA